CUCUGGGUCCACCUCCCACCCGUGUUUAUCGUACCUUGUUGCUUCGGCGGGCCCGCCGCAAGGCCGCCGGGGGGCUUCCGUCCCCGGGUCCGUGCCCGCCGAAGACACCUGUGAACGCUGUAUGAAGAUUGCAGUCUGAGCGAAAAGCUAAAUUUAUUAAAACUUUCAACAACGGAUCUCUUGGUUCCGGCAUCGAUGAAGAACGCAGCGAAAUGCGAUAAGUAAUGUGAAUUGCAGAAUUCAGUGAAUCAUCGAGUCUUUGAACGCACAUUGCGCCCCCUGGUAUUCCGGGGGGCAUGCCUGUCCGAGCGUCAUUGCUGCCCUCAAGCACGGCUUGUGUGUUGGGCCCUCGUCCCUCCCGGGACGGGCCCGAAAGGCAGCGGCGGCACCGCGUCCGGUCCUCGAGCGUAUGGGGCUUCGUCACCCGCUCCGUAGGCCCGGCCGGCGCCUGCCGGCACCAUCAAUCUUGUUUUUCCAGGUUGACCUCGGAUCAGGUAGGGAUACCCGCUGAACUUAAGCAUAUCAAUAAGCGGAGGAA
rnacentral:rRNA from 1 species